rnacentral:rRNA from 1 species
GACGAACGCUGGCGGCGUGCUUAACACAUGCAAGUCGAACGAUGACGAACAGGGCUUGCCUUGUUUUGAUUAGUGGCGAACGGGUGAGUAACACGUGAGUAACCUGCCCCUCACUUCGGGAUAACCAUUGGAAACGGUGGCUAAUACUGGGUAUGACAUCUGGCCGCAUGGUCUGGGUGUGGAAAGCUUUUGUGGUGAGGGAUGGGCUCGCGGCCUAUCAGCUUGUUGGUGGGGUGAUGGCCUACCAAGGCGACGACGGGUAGCCGGCCUGAGAGGGCGACCGGCCACACUGGGACUGAGACACGGCCCAG